AGCUGACCCUGUGAGAGGGCUGAGGGCCAGAAGCUAAGGAGUUUCACUCUAUUCCUGGAGUAGGAAGGGCUAGCUGCCUGAGAGCAAGGUACCUUAAGUGGUGCAGUGCUGGGGAGCACCAGCCUGGUAAACCAUGAGGCUGCAGGCCUUGUGAAAGGCUCAAAAAGGUACUGGGGCUACCGAGGUGUAGCCUGAGGAUAGGCAAAGGCAGCAGGUCCUUACCUCCUUGCCAGUGAUGAUUGGCCUUUAUAGACUGCAGUCUGCCCCCGUGAGCAGGGACUAGAUGAUGACUGGCAGUAGCCACUGAGGCAAGGUGGGUUUAGAGGGUUGGGGGUUCCCUGGGGAGGGGAGACCCAGAGUAAGGGGGUACUGCUGGGGCAGAACCUUGAGGUAAAGGGGCACCAGGGUCCAGGAGGGACACGGGGCCCAGCGGCAGCUGAGACACCGGCCUGCGGAGGGCGCUCUGGGCUGGAAGAGCUAAUUCCUGAGACAACCAGCAGGAGGCGCUGCACCGGAACAUUCCCUAUGCAUCAGCAUCAAGUGUGCAUAAUCUGCUGAGGACCAUUUAGCCAGCCAGAAGGACCACAGUUGAUGGAGUCACAUCAGGCAUCCUAGAGUGAAGUUUCCAGAUCUGGCUUGAUCCUGCAAAUCUGGUUUUACCAUUGGACUUUAAUGGAAGCAGAUUUAGAUCAACACAGCCACUUUUGAAAAGAAAAAAUUAUUACACACUUCAUGCCCAGUCAUAUGCUUUAACCACUAGGCUACACACAGAGCAGAUUAACUCAGGAGCUUUAGGGACUGCAGCCUGGGCCCCAGAUUUUGAGCCCCCCCAAUAUAUUAUUUACUGUAUGAAUUGGAACACAACUAUUUUACUACUAAGCAGUGUUCAGCUGGAGCAACAACUGCCUGAUCAUAUGGUCCAUUUGACCUGCGAUCAAGUCCAGGCCAGGUCACGGCGCGAAUGUGACACAGUUUAGAAGAACCUAUAAAAACAUCUGGACAGAGCACCUAGAAAGCAUGAGAGCGGUGUUAAAAAGCGGAAAGCACAACAACCACAAAGCCUUUGCACAGAAGAUCUGUUAAACAAAGCCCCAAAGUUGACAAGCUAUUUUAAUAAAAUACCAACAAAUGUAUGCGGCGUUACCAGCACUUCGGAAAAUACAGAGAAAAGUCAACAAGAUGAAACAACCAGUACUGAUGGAUUACAAUAUAAUUGGCAAGUCCUAACUUUACAUUCUCCAGGGAGUCAGUUUCAAAAGAGAGUGACAUUGCCACACAUGAAGGUAAUAAUGUAGUGGAUAUGCAAAUUGAUCGAUGUGUAUAAGGUCCAGUGGGUCUUGAACCUGGGCCUGUAGAGCUGCCACCAACUGGCAGCAGCUAUAACCAGUUCAUGCUCCAUUACCCACAACCUGCUGAGGAUGUGGCAAUGAAAGGUCCCACCUCGAGAGGUCUGCUAGGCAGCAGCCUCAUGGCUCUUGAUCGGCUCCCCAUCGUAUAUAAACCCAAGGGAGAUUCCAGGAAGUGUCCAGGCACCAGCUCGGAUCUACUGUAGCUGCCAUGACUGCUCCUGCUCCCUGUUCUUGAACUCCUAGCUUCGACCUGGACUUGACUUGGACCUCGGCUCCUGAUCUGAACCCUGAAAUCUGACUUGGACUUUGAUCCUUGUUAUCAACCCUGGCCUGGAACUUGACUAUGAACUCCUCUGCUACUCUCAGGUUUGACCCUUGGUUCUGACUGGAUCAUGACAGUAUAGUACUGAUGCUGCACUCUGGGGCCCAGCCAUGGAGACCCUGCGAUCUUACUGGAUUUACAAUGGAACUUCUAUCAUGUCAAAAUAAAAAUUGCCACAUUUAAGCAACUAAAAAAAAUUACAAAAACCAGAAGCCAUGUUUAUCAAAAACCCUGUUCACGUGCUGUCUGAAAAAUGGAGACUCUGUGCCUCUUUAUGCACAAUCGACAGGGUUGCUGUUCUGUUUUGUAUGCUUGUUACUUGGAGAUGUCUCUCAUGCAACGGUAUUUAGUGACUCUGGAUUUAAUGACUGACCACAUACUACAGUUCCCAUUGUAGAGCAUGAAAGCAGUGUUUCUCAUCAAAACACAAUGCUUACAUGGACUUCCCAGAUAGAAACCAAAGGCCAGGUAGACUGUGAACAGAAAAAAACAAUAUGAAAAUGAGCUGAUGUAUUGCUUAGACUGGUUGUUGCAGUAGUAAAGUUUCUUGCUGAUCAUGGCCUUCUGUUUUAAAGGAGAAAAUGAAGCUGUCAUCUCUCUUUAUAACAGCAUUUAGUUGGGAAACUUGGAAUUGUUGAGUCAGUUUGAUCCUUUCCUUGAUUACCAUAUUAAAAAAAUAUGGAAAUAU